GGCUUUAUCAUCGGUGUCCUCUUACAGGCUGUAUCUUAAAUCAAGGCAUGAAAUCGAGCCCUUCGCUGGGCUUGCUGUCUGUGCGUGAGCCACAUCAGCGGCUGGCAGCACUCCCGAGCCCUGGCAUCCUUCCUCAGCAGCCUCGAGUCCAAUUAGGCUUCACCUCAGUUUUGAGUACAGCUUCCCCCUGUCACUGGGCCUGCUCCUGCCACGCUUUCAGGGUUCUCCAUACCCCAUUAAGCCCCAGGAAUCGGAUUUUGGACUUGUGGAGCAAGCUGAGGCUCAGUUCCAGCAUUGCUGUUUGGGUACCGCUGCUCUCUUUGCAGAACGGAUCCAAAGAGAGAGGGAAAACGGAGUGAGAUGCAAACAGAGAGGGGGAUGGCUGUGACACCCCAUCCUUCCCCUGCACGGGAUCCCCGCCAGCUCUGCAAGCACCGGGCUGGUGCCAGCUAUCUCGUCCCAUCCCCGUCCUCCGGCAUCCUCCAGCAGUGUCCGUCCGGAGCCAUGCGGCUGUCCUGGGAGGGACCCAUCCCCUGGGAAAGCCAGUGGAAACCGGAGUUAGUCCUCAUCUGUUUAACUAGCUCUUUGUUAGGUAUGCUUUCUAUAAACACAGAUUAAAAGAAAACAAACAACAAAAAAUAAAGACACUGGAAUUACUCUGAGGAAACUGUAGCUUUGUGGGCCAAAUUAAACUUCAUAUAAUAGCUCUUCUUUAUAUGAGAAGAGAAUAAUGUCUUCAAUUAUAUCAAGGCAUGUAAUUACACACUUAUGCAGUAAAUUAAAUACUUUUCUUUUUUAGCCCAAAUCAGGUUGAAUAUCAAUUACAGCUUCCAAAAACAUAUGUAGUUAAAAAAAAAUCCACUUCAUAUAUUUAACUUUUCAAGAUAAUUUUAUUAAUAUGUCCAACAAUUAUAAUUUAAUGUACAAAUUGCUUGGCAUAGAGUUUUUGAUGUAGUGCAAAACCAGCAGUUUAAAAGGAUUGAAGAAUGCCAAACUCCAGGGAGAACUGCACUAAGCAAACCUAUCUGUGCAAAGAAAACUCUGUAUUUUCAAAGAUUGUUAUCAAAAUGGAUGCUGACUAAUGGCUUGUCUAGCCAAGAACAAUAUGUUUGCUUCUUACAGGGUUCCUUAUUUUACUGUGUAUGUUUAGCCUCCCCGUGUCAUUUCCGUCACAAAUUCAUCACAGAGAGGCAGCAAUACAGUAUUUGAUAAAGCGAUGCCUCUCGUUUCCACAAGCUGAAAGCACAGACAAAUUGUUCAAAAAUACUGAGCAAAAUUUUCAGACUGGAGCUGGAAGGGAAAAAUGAAGGCUAUUUAUUUGGUUUAGCCAGUUCUGUUUAAGUGGGAAAAUACUGCAAACUGAAAAACUGUGUUGAAAAUGUCAUGAUUCUCAAAAAUAAUUCAGCCAAUUAUAGAAAAGUCACUAAAAUAUUGCUUUUUAAGUAUGGAUACAUAUUCCUGAAUACACAUUAUGAAUAAAACGUUUUUUCAGACAAUAUUUACUGAUGGUUUCUAAUGUUUCAAAUCGGACUUUCACUGUACCUAUUUUUCAUUACAGCAUUCAAUCCAGCAUGUAAGCAUAUAUUUCAUCAUAGUUCUGUAGCUAUGGACCUUAACUGAUUAUUUGCUUAAAGUUAAGCAUGAGCUUAAGUACUCGGCUGCGUUGGCGCUUACAUGGACAUUCCCACCAGUAUAAUAUUGCUAACCCCUCCUGUGAUUACCGUAUUCCCCAUAACAGGAACCCCAAUAUUACUAAGGACUUGGCCAAUCUUGUCCAAUGUCAACAGAAUGGGAGGUGCCAUUUCAUUAAUUUCCCCUGACUAGGGACAAAAAUAACUUCAUAUAUUUCUUGGUUUUGUGUUUCAAACUCCAGGAGAACAAUUUUCUUAAAAAGUAAAAAAAUUGGUUAUAUUAUACCCUAGUUGGUUACAUUAGACUGUAAUUUCACAAGGCAUCAGUGAUUCCAGAGACUGAUUUUUGACAAGAAAAAAAAUGACCACACAUUUGCUAACAUCAAUAGUCACCUUUCCUCAUGCAUAAAGCAUAUGAACACAUUUUUGGCUGUCAGUAUUUGAACAACUGAAAAUGGGAAGGAAGAAGUAUAGACAUGUUUUAACUUUCUGACAAACUGUUUUGAUGAACGGGGAUCCCCGCACUGGCUAAAGAGUGAGGACAGAAAAAUGGGUCCCUGUGGUGCAGGGCAAGAUCUCCUCUAAUAACAGAAUGAGUGAGCAAAUCAGGGGAACCACAACUUUCCUACUGUGUGAGAGACCACAAAUAAUGGAAGAUAAACAGAUACGAGAAGGAGCAAUUCAUUUUCCAUGCCCAUUAAGUUUUCCAGGUAGAAAUGGGUGUCAAUGUAUUUAUGAUUUGGUCUCUUAUGUCUCUUCAGGUCUUCCUUAAAGCAGACUGAAGAUGGAUUUGGGGUUUUGGUCCAUUUUGUAGCGUAUUCAGCCCGUGUUUGAUAACGGGCUAAAACGAACUCUUGUAAAUCUUUCUGCAGCUAUGUAAAGCAGGACUCCAUUACAAAUCUGUAGCUACCCAAACGGUUAAAAUCCUGGUAUAAUAAAGGCCAUGUGCACAACUUCUGAAACUAUUGCAA